rnacentral:rRNA from 1 species
CCACGCCGUAAACGAUGAGUGCUAGGUGUCGGGAGUCAAAUCUCGGUGCCGCAGUUAACGCAAUAAGCACUCCGCCUGGGGAGUACGUACGCAAGUAUGAAACUCAAAGGAAUUGACGGGGACCCGCACAAGCAGCGGAGCAUGUGGUUUAAUUCGAUGCAACGCGAAGAACCUUACCAGGGCUUGACAUAUGGGUGAAAGACGUAGAGAUACGUCCCCUCUUCGGAGCAGCCAUACAGGUGGUGCAUGGUUGU